ensembl:lncRNA
GUGAAAUGUGCCUUUGGUGUUUUGCUCUCUCGUUCAAGUUACUGCCAGCUGGAGAAAAGGCUGUUCUAGCUGCUCACAGUCCAACUGGAAGCACAGGCUUUAGGAAUACCUUGGGAAAGCCUGCUGAAAUUUCUGCAGUCAGCAUGCCUUGAAGCAGGCAGAGUGCAGGCACGGCGGGCUGCAACAGGCGGGGAUUUCACUGCUGCUGAUGCCCAGAAGUGGAACUAACCCAAAUGAUCAUCAACUGGUGAAUGAGUAAACAAAUUGUGGGUUUUAAAAAUUUUAUUGUAUAGUAUGGAAUGCUGUUCAGAAGUAAAAGAAAGUGCCUCAGCCCUAUUGGCUGUCUGAAAAACUUCUGUGCUGAUUACAAGGGAAAUUGGAAAAAGGUUGCUCACUGCUGUGAGGGCUCAUCAUACUGUACUGUGUGAUCUGCUUCCAUAAUUUAGUCUUGAAGAAAAAUAAAAAGUAAAGGGGGAGAGUUAGAAUUGGUGGUAUAAAGAGAAGCUGAGCCGGUCCCAGCACCCAGAUGGAAGUUCCCCCAUCGCCAUCCCAAGCUCCUAAGGCAGAGGAGGUGAGUCACGUGGGUGCCAGAAGCACUCCCCCCACCCCAUGGAAAUGAGAAGACAUGUAAACAAGCCUCAAAAACAGACUUCUGGAUCACCUACAGCAACCCCAAAGGGAAACGAGAUGGAACAAUCUGAUAUUCAACUACCUGGACUCUCUGAACUGGCAACAAAAGAGUAUCUGGGAAAAAUGAAAUCAGAAAUAAUUAUUCAGAUAAUAGCAAAGAUUGUGCUCAUGGUGCAAGACAUGAUUAAUAAAUCUAGAGAGGACACAGAUGAAAAAAUAGAGGAUCUGAGGAACAUGAUGGAAUCCCAACAUAGGAAACAGAUGGAAUCCAUAAAACAUCCAAACAGAUUUCCAGGAGAUUAAAAACUCCAUCAAAAGUCUGCACAGCAGAAUGAACCAAUGUGAGGAUAGAAUUUCAGAUAUAGAAGAAAAAGAUUGCAAUUAGUGACCAAGAAAAGAAAAAUUGCUUUAAAAUUGUAAAGGAACACGAGAAAUCAAUACAGCAGCUGCUAGAUGAUGCAAAGAAGAAUAACAUAAGGCUGAUUGGAGUCAAUGAAGAAAGAGGAGAGAGUGCAGAUGACAUAAAAAUCUCUUCACAGAAGUGAUGGCAGAAAACUUCCCAAGCAGGGGAAAAGAACUUGACAUACAGAUAAGUGAGGCAUAAAGGACUACAGCAAGCCUUGAUCAAAAAAAAAUUUACACAUAGGCAUACAAUAGUUAGGAUUCCAGAAAUCCAACAGAAGAACAAAAUUCUACAAGCAGUGAGAGAAAAGAAACAAAUCACAUAUAAAGGAAAGCCCAUCAGAAUCAUAGCAGACUUCUCAAUGCAAACCCUCAAGGCAAGAAGAGCUUGGAGAGAUGUAUUUCAAGCUCUAAAGGAAAACAGCCUCCAACCCAGAUUGAUGGACCCUGCAAAACUAUCUUUCAAAAUUGAUGGAGAAAUAAGAUACUUUCAUGAUAAAGAGCACCUCAGGAACUUCAUGAAUACCAAACUGGCACUCCAAAAAAUUUUAGACAAUACCCUAAGAAAAGACAAUAAGGAUCACACCCCCAGGAAACCCAGCAGGAUGAAUUCAUUGGGCAUGACAAAUUAAAUGCAAAGGGGAGAAUCCAACAGAAAGAAAAAGUCAUGACAAGGCUUUUAAAACUUUUAACUUCAUCUCCCUGAUGAGUGUAUAAUUGAAUCUUGUUAUUGUACUGAUUAGUAUUUUUCUGACUCUAGAGUUGCAUACCUUUCCUUGUGCUGUAGUAGCUAGAUGAUAAUCUUCUUAUGUCUACUUUUUAACUGGGAUGUCUAUUAAUGAGCUCCAAGAAUUCUUUAUAUAUUCUGGUCAUAAGUUAUAUGCAUUCUAAAUAUGGUCUGUUUAAGGACUACUUUUCAUUUUAAUGAUGUCAUUUAAAGUUCUAAAUUUUGAUGGAAUCUCAUUUAUCAAUUGUUUUCUUUUAUACAUCAUGUCUUUUGUAUCCUAGGUAGUUCUUGCCUACCCUAAAUUCAUAAACAUCUUCCUUUAUAAUUUCUUCUUAAAGUUUUAUAUUUUUGGGCUUUCUUAUUUAGGUUCAUAGAUCCCUUCAAGUUAUUUUCAUGUAUGGAAAUAAAGGGUUGAGGUUAAUUUUUUAUAUAUGGAUACCAGGUGUUCUAGUGCCAUUUGCUGCAAACACUAUCUCUUCCUUGGCUGUUGAAUUGAGUUUAUAUUCUAUAAAAUGCUAAUGUUAAAUAAUCUUUCAAAACUCAGUGGACCAUAUAUGUGUGGUUCUAUUUCUAGAUUCUCUGUUUUAUUUAAAUGAUCUAUAUGUCUUUCCUUACACCAACACUGCCUUGAUUACUGUAGCUUUAGAGGAAGUCUUAAAAUUAGGUACUAAAUGUCUUCUAACACUGUUUUUGUUUUUUUUUUAACUUUUCUAGGUCCUUUGUACUCCUAUAUAACUUUUAAAUUUCAAUAUCCAAUUCUUCAUUUAUAGCAAGUAUACACAGACCUGAAUUUUUAUAUAUAACUUGAGUUUUCUAAUCCUGAUAAAUUCAAGUACAAGUUCUAGGGGCUCCUAGAGAUUUCUUAGUAUUUUCUCUGUAGAUGACCAUUUCAACUACAUAUAAAGAUUUUGCUUUUGCCAUGCCAAUCCUAUCCUAGUUGUGUCAUUUUAUCACCAGACUAUUUUGGUGGGGCCUAGGUUUCAAAGUUUAAUGAACAGAUAAAGAGUAAGGAUAUCUGCCCUUGUUCCCCUUAAGGAGAAAGCAUUGUAUCUUCUCCAUUCAUAUAAGGCUUUCUCACUGGAAGUAUGGAGUACAUGUCUUUAAUCUGUUGAGAAGGUUCUGUUCUACUUCUAGUCUCCUAAUGGCUUUUACCAUGAACAGUUGUAGAAUUUAGUCUAAUACUUUUUCUCCAACUAGUGACAGGAUCAUAUGGCUUUUUCCUUUCCUCUGUUAAAAUGAUGACUUUUUGGGGGUGGAUCUUCCAAUGCUGAACCAACACUGCCAUCCCUAUAACAAAACCACUUUCUACAUACUGCCAGAUCUGACUUCCAAUAGUUUGUUUUGUUAAACAGAUUUCUAUCUAUGUUCAUACUUUUUCUUCUAUUAUCUUUGUCCAGCUUUAGGAUUAGCACAAUGUUGAGUUCCUAAAAUGAGGGGUGAAGUGUUCCUUCUUUUUACUCCUUUAAUUGUUUGAUAUAAUUUAUUAGUUAAAAAGUAUAUGAGCCUGCUCUUGUCAUAUAGGUAGGUUUUUGAGCUAGAAAUAUACUUUCUUUAAUAGGUACUAUUCAAAUUGUAUAUUUCCUCUAGAGUUAGUUUCAUUAAUUUGUCUUCCAAGGUACUUCUUAGAAGUUGUCCAAUUUAUUUCAAAAAAGAUUUUUGUAAUAUGCUUUCUAUAUCAUUUAAAUUCUGUGAAAUCUGUGGUAAUGUCUCCUAGAUCUUGAUAUUGUAAUUUUAAAAAUGUAUACCUGAUAUUGUGUAACAGGAAGAAAAGGUCUAAAGAAGCAGGGGAAGUAGGAGGGGUAGGGGAAAGGAAAGAAGGGAAAAGAAAAAAAUAUGAGAAAAGGAAAAAAAUGGAAACAAAGUCUUUGCAAAUAGGGAAGGGUGGAGGGGGUGAAGGGAGGGCAAGGGAAGGGGAACAAAAAAUAAGAACCAAGAUACUUAUGUAAAGGUACAAGAUCCCAAUGAUGAAUGUAGCUGUAUUUUAUACCUAAAAUGUACAAAUAUCCUUAAUGGGGGGGAAAAAAAGAAUAUUGGUGAUAUAGUAAUUUCUUAGAGUUCUACCUUGUCCUAGAGAUAGAAACCAAAUGCAUCACAAAUGAGAAGAGAACCUUCUCAGAUAAGCAGCCAGAAAAGAAUUGAAUCAGGAGUGGAGUGUAAUUCUUCUGCCCCAACAGAAUUGUUUUAUUUACAGUUCUUUAGGUUGGAAGUAACUAUCAUCACCAUGACUCUGAUUAUGGAGUCAGGAAAAAUUAAGAGAUAUGCAAAACCCAAUCAGUUUUCAUUUAACUAUCUCUAAGAGUUGUAGCCCUACCAGCCAGAGUUUCAUUACUAUAACUUUAUCUAGAUGUACCCUCAAGGCCUCAUGUGCUCAUAGGUGAGGCUUUUUGGACAUGGUUGGAUUUAGGGUGUGUGAAUAUGGAUUAGAGUGUGUAAUAUCGUCAUUAGUCUACUGAUUGGCUUAGCAUAGUUAUGGGUGUGGACAAUGGAAGGCCCACCUGGAUGUAAGUGGCAUCAUUCUUCUAGCCUGGAUGGGAUAAAAGAGAAAGAAAGGCUCAAUGGUAAUGUUUGCUGCCUCCUGCCUGCCCUGCUAUGGGCUGUCUCUCCCUGCCAUACCCCUCUGGCACGCUGCCCUUCCUUGGAGCCAGCCCACUAUGGAUAGAAACCUCUACAAACUGUGAACUAAAAUAAAUGUUUUUUUUCUUGUAACUUGUGGAUGUCAAUUAUUUUGCCCCAGCAAUGAGGAAGUAACUAAGACACUCAUCUUUUAAAUUAACCAAAGCUGAUCAAAUUAUGUUUACAAAAUAGAUUGUGCCAAUGAUCAAGAAAGCCCAUUUCUGAGUUUAUUACAAAAGCACUAAUAGUAGUGGAAGAUUGAUUUAGUCUAUCACUUUCUACAAUGAAAACAUUUAUACCAUCCCAAAAGAUAUGGGGUUCCUGUUUAGCAGAUGCAAAUACUUCCAAACUAGAGCUCAAAAAUUUAUUCAGUCUGAGAUAUUUGAAUCAUAUUCAGGUUUUCAUGCAGAAAAACUUACACGCAAGUAAAUCCAUGCAACAGUGAAGAAGCCAUGGCUAUGCAUUCUGUCUAACGUGAAGGGUUUCAAAGGUAGGGGCAGAAUUUGCUUCAAAAGGGCCUGAUGCAGGUCUAACAUGAGAAGUUAUGUAAAUAACAUAAAUGAAAGAAGGAUACAAUUCUAAUGAUUAUUUUCAGGAAAUAAAACUUUGAAUUCUAAUUUGUUUUUGCAUAUUAUUGCCGCAAUGCUGAGGAUAUUUGUUUUGGACUUUCUGUAUGUCAUGCUUUACAAUAAAAUAAGGUAAAAAUAGAUGAACUUUACAUUUCUGUUGAUUGAUUUUACAUCAUUAUUUCAUGGAAUCUCAUUCUCUGGCUUACACUUAACUUGUAUUUGUCUGUCAUGAUGCACAAUAAUGAUUUUA